CCUACGGGAGGCAGCAGUGGGGAAUAUUGCACAAUGGCGGAAAGGCUGAUCCAGCGACGCCGCGUGAGUGAAGAAGUAUCUCCGUAUUUAAAGCUCUAUCAGCAGGGCAGCAAAUGACGGUACCUGAUUAACAAGCCCCGUCUCACUACGUGCCAGCAGCCGCGGUACUACGGAGGGGGCAAGCGUUAUCCGGAUUUACUGGGUGUAAAGGGAGCGUAGGCGGCAGCACAAGUCUGGAGUGAAAUGUCGGGGCUUAACCCCGGAACUGCUGUGGAAACUGUGCAGCUAGAGUGCAGGAGAGGUAAGUGGAAUUCGUAGUGUAGCGGUGAAAUGCGUAGAUAUUAGGAGGAACACCAGUGGCGAAGGCGGCUUACUGGACUGUAACUGACGUUGAGGCUCGAAAGCGUGGGGAGCGAACAGGAUUAGAUACCCCAGUAGUC
rnacentral:rRNA from 1 species